CUGAUCAGAAGGCAUCAUCCCAACCCUCCACGACACCUGUUGAGGAGGAGAGAAUGAAGCGUUUGGAGAACCUCAAAAUUGCCCUCCACAAGAUGCAAAAGGAGAGAGAUGAACUCAGGAGAAUCCUGGCGGAUUACCCAGGAAAGAAUUUAAAUGACAGGAACAAGUUUGAGUCCGAGAUGCUCAUGAAGCAGCACCAGGAAGUGAUGACCGACAUGAAGAAAAUGAGCUAGCAGAUCAAUUAUGCUUUGGUCAAAUGUAAAAACCUUACACUGGAAAAUGACUGGUACUGCCGCACCUUCUGCCCCCUCCUAACUGAGUGUUUUGAGCUGAAGAACAAUGCCCAGAGAGCAGGGAAUGAGUACAAAGGGCUUCUAAGGGAUCAGAUUGCACUGGAAGAAUCCAUUAAGGAAACAACAAGGUUCUGUGGGGAAGCCAGUAUAAAAUCCGUGUACCAAGCAGCCUAAGGUCUGAACACUGCAGCAGACGCUUGCCCAUGGCCCAGACCAGGACUACAGCUCUCAGAGAGAGACCUGUCCACCAGGAGCACUGAGGGUGCAAAGAUUGACAACACCUCCCGCAUCUCAGUCCUCGUAACCAUACAACAACAAACCAACCCGAAUGAGGCGUCUACAUUCCUCUUGAAGAGAUUUUUACCAUCUUACCUGCCGUUCUGCUGUGUUUGCAAGGCCAGCAAGAGGCUGGGGUUAUAUGUUGAAAAAUCAGCAGCAAUUGAAUGCUGAGUAAUUUACUUGUUAUAUUUGGUUUUUACUUUGAAGUUUGGUUGUUUUAUGCAUUUGGUUUUAUUUGUUUAAGUUUGAAGUUUUGUUAUUCAUUUGUUAACUUUAGUUUUUCUUAAUUAAUAUGCCAUAUUCCUAAGGCUAUAUAUAUUGAACUCAUUGACUCCCCACUUUAAAAUGUUCUUGAAUAAAUUAAUGUUAGCCUAUAAAUAAAAACGUGACCUUUAACCCUUCACUCACAAGGCCGUCCUGAGUCGUGUGUGGUUCUUCCUCCUGUAACAGCACAAGUGUAAGGCAACAGUGGUUUUCUGCAAGUCUCAUGCAGCGUAGGCUUCACCAUCAGUUCACAGCAGCCAGAGCUGCACAGGAAACUGUGCUCUUGAUGUAGACAGUGUGUCAUGCUCUGUGGAACCCCCUUCAUGAUGAAAAAUGUCCUCGCUUCAUCCCUGUGGUCACAAAUUUAGCUUCCUUUAUAGUGACAAACACAGAAGUAUUUCUCUAAUACAUUAGAGGACAUACAAACAUUGAUUAUGGGAAUAUAAAAUGUUCAGGACACACAGAGUUUGAUGCCUGUGGAUUCCUUGAAAUACAGCAUCAGCUAUGACUGCACAUUUAAUGAAUUCCACCAAUUUUAGAGGAAUGAACAUUUUUACUAUUUUUGUUGUUGGUUUGUUUGUUGUUAUUGAUAAUGAUGUUUUGCUGAGUUCAUUUUGAUAUAUAUCAUAGCUUCUU